GAUGAACGCUGGCGGCGUGCCUAAUACAUGCAAGUCGAGCGAACAGACGAGGAGCUUGCUCCUCUGACGUUAGCGGCGGACGGGUGAGUAACACGUGGAUAACCCACCUAUAAGACUGGGAUAACUUCGGGAAACCGGAGCUAAUACCGGAUAAUAUAUUGAACCGCAUGGUUCAAUAGUGAAAGACGGUUUUGCUGUCACUUAUAGAUGGAUCCGCGCCGCAUUAGCUAGUUGGUAAGGUAACGGCUUACCAAGGCAACGAUGCGUAGCCGACCUGAGAGGGGGAAGGGCAAAAAGGGAAAUGAGACGGGGUCAAGACCCCUAGGGGAGGGAGAAGAAGGAAAUCUUCAGAAAAGGGCGAAAGCCUGAAGAAGAAACGCCGGGUGAGUGAGAAAGGUAUGCGGAUAGAAAAACUCUUUUAUGAGGGAAGAAAAAAGGUGAAAGUAAAAAGGCACGUCUUGAGGUAACAAAAGAAGAAAGACAGGACAAACUAGGUG
rnacentral:rRNA from 1 species